AGCGAACGCUGGCGGCAGGCCUAACACAUGCAAGUCGAACGGACCCUUCGGGGUUAGUGGCGGACGGGUGAGUAACACGUGGGAACGUGCCCUUUGGUUCGGAACAACUCAGGGAAACUUGAGCUAAUACCGGAUGAGCCCUACGGGGGAAAGAUUUAUCGCCAUUGGAGCGGCCCGCGUCUGAUUAGCUAGUUGGUGAGGUAAAGGCUCACCAAGGCGACGAUCAGUAGCUGGUCUGAGAGGAUGAUCAGCCACACUGGGACUGAGACACGGCCCAGACUCCUACGGGAGGCAGCAGUGGGGAAUCUUGCGCAGUGGGGGAAACCCUGACGCAGCCAUGCCGCGUGAAUGAUGAAGGUCUUAGGAUUGUAAAAUUCUUUCAGCAGGGACGAUAAUGACGGUACCUGCAGAAGAAGCCCCGGCUAACUUCGUGCCAGCCGCCGCAGUAAUAC
rnacentral:rRNA from 1 species